UUUGAUUGUGCGUGCUAAGAACC
rnacentral:siRNA from 1 species